AGUGAACGUUGGCGGCGUGGAUUAGGCAUGCAAGUCGAGCGAGAACCGUAGCAAUACGGGGACAGCGGCGAAAGGGACAGUAAUGUGUAGGUACCUACCUCCGGGUUCGGGAUAGCUGCGGGAAACUGCAGGUAAUACCGAAUAACGUCUCCGGACCAAAGGUGUGAUUCCACCUGGAGAGGGGCCCGCAUCCUAUUAGCUUGUUGGCGGGGUAACGGCCCACCAAGGCGACGAUGGGUAGCGGGUGUGAGAGCACGACCCGCGUCAUUGGGACUGAGACACUGCCCAGACACCUACGGGUGGCUGCAGUCGAGGAUCUUCGGCAAUGGGCGCAAGCCUGACCGAGCGACGCCGCGUGCGGGAUGAAGGCCUUCGGGUUGUAAACCGCUGUCGUAGAGGAGGAAGUGCAGGGGGGUUCUCCCCUCUGUUUGACCUAUUCUAGGAGGAAGGACGGGCUAAGUUUGUGCCAGCAGCCGCCGUAA
rnacentral:rRNA from 1 species